rnacentral:tRNA from 1 species
GUGGAUAUAGCUCAGUUGUUAGAGUGCCUGCCUUGCAUGCACAAGGCUCUGGGUUCAGUCCCCAGCACCAUA